rnacentral:rRNA from 1 species
CCUACGGGUGGCAGCAGUGGGGAAUAUUGGGCAAUGGGCGCAAGCCUGACCCAGCAACGCCGCGUGAAGGAAGAAGGCUUUCGGGUUGUAAACUUCUUUUCUGAGGGACGAAGAAAGUGACGGUACCUCAGGAAUAAGCCACGGCUAACUACGUGCCAGCAGCCGCGGUAAUACGUAGGUGACAAGCGUUAUCCGGAUUUAUUGGGUGUAAAGGGCGUGUAGGCGGGAAGGCAAGUCAGAUGUGAAAUCUCAGGGCUCAACCCGGAGCCUGCAUUGGAAACUGUUUUUCUUGAGUGCUGGAGAGGCAAGCGGAAUUCCGGGUGUAGCGGUGAAAUGCGUAGAGAUACGGAGGAACACCAGUGGCGAAGGCGGACUGCUGGACAGUAACUGACGCUGAGGUGCGAAAGCGUGGGGAGCAAACAGGAUUAGAUACCCUUGUAGUC